rnacentral:rRNA from 1 species
UUGUGCCUACGGGACGCAGCAGUGAGGAAUAUUGGUCAAUGGGCUUACGCCUGAACCAGCCAAGUCGCGUGAGGGAAUAAGGCCCUACGGGUCGUAAACCUCUUUUGCCGGGGAGCAAGGGCGGGGACGUGUCCCGGCCCGGAGAGUACCCGGAGAAAAAGCAUCGGCUAACUCCGUGCCAGCAGCCGCGGUAAUACGGAGGAUGCGAGCGUUAUCCGGAUUUAUUGGGUUUAAAGGGUGCGCAGGCGGAGGUGCAAGUCAGCGGUCAAAUUGCGGGGCUCAACCCCGUACUGCCGUUGAAACUG